CCUACGGGCGGCAGCAGUGAGGAAUAUUGGUCAAUGGCCGGAAGGCUGAACCAGCCAUGCCGCGUGAAGGUCAGUGCCCUAUGGGCGUUAAACUUCUUUUGUGCGGGAGAAAUAAUGGUCACGUGUGGCCAGACGAGAGUACCGUACGAAUAAGCAUCGGCUAAAUCCGUGCAAGCAGCCGCGGUAAUACGGGGGAUGCAGGCGUUAUCCGGGUUUAUUGGGGUUAAAGGGUGCGUAGGCUGUGACGUAAGUCAGCGGGGAAAUGCCCCCGCUCAAAGGGGUGAAGUGCCAUUGAUACUGGCGGGCUGGAAUGCGGAUGCCGUGGGAGGAAUGUGUGGUGUAGCGGUGAAAUGCAUAGAUAUCACACAGAACACCGAUUGCGAAGGCAUCUCACGAAUCCGCGAUUGACGCUGAUGCACGAAAGCGUGGGUAUCAAACAGGAUUAGAUACCCGAGUAGUC
rnacentral:rRNA from 1 species